rnacentral:rRNA from 1 species
GACGAACGCUGGCGGCGUGCUUAACACAUGCAAGUCGUACGGUAAGGCCCUUUCGGGGGUCCACGAGUGGCGAACGGGUGAGUAACACGUGAGUAACCUGCCCACAACUGGGAUAACGCUAGGAAACUGGUGCUAAUACUGGAUAUGUGCUCCUGCUGCUUGGUGGGGGUUGGAAAGCUCCGGCGGUUGUGGAUGGAAUCGCGGCCUAUCAGCUUGUUGGUGGGGUAGUGGCCUACCAAGGCGGCGACGGGUAGCCGGCCUGAGGGGGUGAACGGCCACAAUGGGACUGAGAUACGGCCCAGAACUCCACGGGGGGGAGGAGGGGGGAAUAUUGGAAAAUGGGCGCGAGCCUGAUGCAGCAACGCCGCGGGGGGGAUGACGGCCUUCGGGUUGGAAACCGCUUUCAGCAGGGACGAAGCUGUUUGUGACGGUACCUGCAGAAGAAGCACCGGCUAACUACGUG